AGCACUGCCAGUCCGUUUCUCCAUCGGAGUUUCCCACUUUGGUAUGUGUUUCACUAGAAAUUGUUCUUGAAGGUUUGACCGUGCCUUUCAGAAGAAGAGGCUUACAUACUUCACAACAAACAGUUCGACGACCAACAAGCUACUCACUUGUGGCGACAAGGCUUGCUCCAGCAGCUCGUGCACCGGCAACUCCUCAGUCUGUCCAUACACGGUUAGAUAUCUUUCAGAGAACACUUCUACCUCAGGAAAACUAGUGGAGGAUGUGAUUCACCUUUUCAAGCCAUCGACAAGCUCUGCCAUUACUGCCAGAAUCAUUUUUGGGUGAGGAUGUUUUCCAUUCUUCAGAGCUUUUCUUGACUAUUUGCAGCAAACAGG
rnacentral:lncRNA from 1 species